GACGAACGCUGGCGGCGUGCUUAACACAUGCAAGUCGUACGGUAAGGCCCUUUCGGGGGUACACGAGUGGCGAACGGGUGAGUAACACGUGAGUAACCUGCCCACAACUUUGGGAUAACGCUAGGAAACUGGUGCUAAUACUGGAUAUGUGCUCCUGCUGCAUGGUGGGGGUUGGAAAGCUCCGGCGGUUGUGGAUGGACUCGCGGCCUAUCAGCUUGUUGGUGGGGUAGUGGCCUUCCAAGGCGGCGACGGGUAGCCGGCCUGAGAGGGUGACCGGCCACAUUGGGACUGAGAUACGGCCCAGACUCCUACGGGAGGCAGCAGUGGGGAAUAUUGCACAAUGGGCGCAAGCCUGAUGCAGCAACGCCGCGUGCGGGAUGACGGCCUUCGGGUUGUAAACCGCUUUCAGCAGGGACGAAGCUUUUUGUGACGGUACCUGCAGAAGAAGCACCGGCUAACUACGU
rnacentral:rRNA from 1 species